GGUUUCCGUAGGUGAACC
rnacentral:rRNA from 2 species